UUCGUCUCCUUGUUUUCUGUAUUUUUUCUACUAUUGAUUUGAUGUGUAGUUUCCAUGUGAGUUGAGUAUCUACGUGGAGUCCUAGGUAUUUGACAUGCUUUGUUUGCAUUAUAUGCAUAAACAUGUCUUGACACAAAAUAAAUAAAAUUACAGAAUAAAUCGAUCUUAUCGUAAAUGUAUUGGCUAGUUUCAAUAUUCGAUUAAUUGGAUCAUUUGAACUAUAUUUAGAUUUUUCCGCAGCUAGCCGGUUUGGGUAUGAUGCUAUUCUUGAUUUGUAUUUUUCUGAGUAUUUGAUAAUUUCUUCCUUGACCGUUGGGAUUUCCAGGUCUCUCCGUAUGUCGUCAUUUCGAACGUACCAUGGUGCGUUUACUAUCGUUCUAAGAAUUUUAGCUUGCUGGGUGAUUUCCGUUACACUUAUAACAUCUAACUUCCUCUAUUUUUGCGGUGGAUGGGCAGUGUAUUGUUAAAUGGUUUUUUGCACAUUUAACACAUGCCGGGCUUCUAUUGCAAUAAUUUUUUGUGUGGCUGUAUUGCUGACACCUUAUGCAUUGAUGGAUAUCUUUUUCAUGUCUAGGUCGCUCCACUUUUACUAUUGUGUUUAGUAAUUUUGUUAUAUCCUAUAUGUCUUUGUUAUUAUUUCUAGGUUCUAGUUCGACUAGAAAUAGCGGUAAUGGUUGUUUAGUAUCAUAUUUGGCUAAGUUGUUCAUAUACUUUACCUGAUGUCCGAUUUUUGCUAGUUCUUCGAUUAUUUAGUCGGUGUUUGUUUUUGGGUGUAAUCCCCUGAUUACUAUUUUGCGGCUUUUAUCGGAUUUGAGCUUGUAGGUGUGAUACCCUGCAUUUUUAUCCUUUAGCGAUCU